CCUACGGGAGGCAGCAGUGAGGAAUAUUGGUCAAUGGACGCAAGUCUGAACCAGCCAUGCCGCGUGCAGGAAGACGGCUCUAUGAGUUGUAAACUGCUUUUGUACGAGGGUAAACGCAGAUACGCGAAGCGGUCUGAAAGUAUCGUAUGAAUAAGGAUCGGCUAACUCCGUGCCAGCAGCCGCGGUAAUACGGAGGAUUCAAGCUUUAUCCGGAUUUAUUGGGUUUAAAGGGUGCGUAGGCGGUCGGAUAAGUUAGAGGUGAAAUCCCGAGGCUCAACUUCGGGAUUGCCGCUGAUACUGUUCGGCUUGAGCGUAGUUGCGGUAGGCGGAAUGUAUGGUGUCGCGGU
rnacentral:rRNA from 1 species